UUUUUCACGAAAAAAACAUACGCUUCCUCCUGGGUUUGAAACCUUCGACCUCUAUAUUAGCAAACAACUCCAUCGACUGACCUACCCAAUUUUACAUGAAAAAAAUCCUUAUAAAUCACUGAAAUCAUAUUCUUUCUUAAUCAGAUAUUCUUCUAAAUUGAAGUUUGUGUUUUUAGUCAUAAAUAGUUCAAACUAUUGAGAUUUCUCUAAAGCUAUAAAUAUUUCUCUGAUAUUCUUAGUCAUCAAAUCCAUCAUUUUUCAAAUUACAUUACCUUCUGAAUAUGUUUCAUAUUCUGAACUGCUC
rnacentral:sRNA from 1 species